CAAUUCGAAGCAACGCGCAGAACCUUACCAACCUUUGACAUGUCCCGUAUGAGCAACAGAGAUGUAGCUCUUCAGUUCGGCUGGCGGGAACACAGGUGCUGCAUGGCUGUCGUCAGCUCGUGUCGUGAGAUGUUGGGUUAAGUCCCGCAACGAGCGCAACCCUCGCCCUUAGUUGCCAUCAUUCAGUUGGGCACUCUAAGGGGACUGCCGGUGAUAAGCCGCGAGGAAGGUGGGGAUGACGUCAAGUCCUCAUGGCCCUUACAGGUUGGGCUACACACGUGCUACAAUGGCGGUGACAGUGGGACGCAAUGGAGCAAUCCUGCGCAAAUCUCAAAAAGCCGUCUCAGUUCGGAUUGCACUCUGCAACUCGAGUGCAUGAAGUUGGAAUCGCUAGUAAUCGCAGAUCAGCACGCUGCGGUGAAUACGUUCCCGGGCCUUGUACACACCGCC
rnacentral:rRNA from 1 species